AUUGAACGCUAGCGGGAUGCUUUACACAUGCAAGUCGAACGGCAGCGCGGACUUCGGUCUGGCGGCGAGUGGCGAACGGGUGAGUAAUGUAUCGGAACGUGCCCAUUAGCGGGGGAUAACUACGCGAAAGCGUAGCUAAUACCGCAAACGCCCUACGGGGGAAAGCAAGGGAUCGUAAGACCUUGCACUAUUGGAGCGGCCGAUAUCGGAUUAGCUAGUUGGUGGGGUAACGGCUCACCAAGGCGACGAUCCGUAGCUGGUUUGAGAGGACGACCAGCCACACUGGGACUGAGACACGGCCCAGACUCCUACGGGAGGCAGCAGUGGGGAAUUUUGGACAAUGGGGGCAACCCUGAUCCAGCCAUCCCGCGUGUGCGAUGAAGGCCUUCGGGUUGUAAAGCACUUUUGGCAGGAAAGAAACGUCGCGGGCUAAUACCCCGUGGAACUGACGGUACCUGCAGAAUAAGCACCGGCUAACUACGUG
rnacentral:rRNA from 1 species